UCCUCCCAUACCAGCCGUCGCCGGCAAAAUGCAUAAGAGCAGCAAGCAGUUUACCCGAGCAGCGACUACACAAGACGACGUCACUUGGAAUCAUUACGCGGUGGUAGAUGGGCCUUGUGUUCCAGAGUUGGUCAGCUUCGAGGCAGCCCAAUCCGGAUGGGAGCGAUAAUUAGGUGGCAAGGUACCAGCAGCAACAAAUCCGUUUCAAAUUUCCCGCAUCAAGAUUAGUCCCUCGCGACUGCUGACGUUGUGCCACACUGGCCGUUCGGCCUGCUACCGGCGGAUUCUGCUAAACUUCCGCGAGUCCCAUCGUCCAGUUUCAAGUGCUGGCGGCUUCAAGCCCAACUGGUACAGUUACAUGUUGACAACAAGCUGUCCGAGCUGACUGGUGUGGAUGUCCUCGAACGGAAGCAUCACGAUUCUUCCAGCCUACGAAAUGACACUUCGUUAACAUCUUUUGGAUCAAUGCAUGAAUAUCGAGUCUCUGAGAAAUCAGUCCACCAAAACGCUGACAGCAAUCUGAAUCAUCGAUCAGGACUCAGGCUGCGCGUGGUCACAUGAUCACAUUUUUUUAGCUAGAUUUUCUUAUCGCGUGUGUGGAUCAUCUUCAGAUCAAGUGACACGAGUAAGUUUAUUUCAAUUUGAUCCAUUUGCCUAAUAAUUCACUUCCAAAUUAUAAUUGUAUAU